rnacentral:lncRNA from 1 species
GUCUGGAAGCAGUGUACCUGAAACAAGGAAGUGGUAGUCCUUGGUGGGUGGGUGAGGGGUGAGAAAUUAACUCCAGCUGGACCAGGAAGAUUGAAGUGUUGCUAGGAAACCAGACAGAUACCUAGAUACCUAGUCUUCCCACUCAAGAUUCUAUAGGACAUCAUCUCUAAGGGGUCUCCAACAGCUAUUCUUUUGCCCUUGACACCCUUGUUUCUUCAGUAUCCCUAUCCUUCCUUACCAAUACUAGCCCUCACCAUCACAUACGGGUUCUUUCAAUCAAAUGCCUAUGUCCACGGACACCUAGGGCUUCCUAUUUAUCUUCUCCUAUCCUUGUCACCAAGGAUGUCAUCCACCUGACCCAGAUCUUACUGUUGUACAGCAUCCUUCCCAUUGACUGAUAUUAUCAAAAACAGGGCCUCAAAUGGGUCAGUGGUCCAGCAGGUACAGCCUGCCCCCUGGUGGCUACCAUGUUGUAAGGUCUUUUUGGUGUUUAGUUGGAUAUGGAAAAAGACUUGUCUACCCGCCAGCUCUUUGGGGUAUGUCAUAGCCAGAGUGGGUCCAGUCAUAUCUCCCACUUCACCCAGCUGACAUGAUCUGCUCAUCUUGUCAGUUUUCCCCAGGGUAUUAACAGGAAAGACCUCAGGAAUGUGAGGACCUGUGUGCUUGUCUGGAAGGUUAGAGAGUGAUGUGCCCCAUUUGGCAGCCAAUCUUGGAAGAGGGAGUUGAAAAGGAAGAGUGGACGCUGGCUACUGGCAUAGGAGAAAAGGGCAGCCAGCCAGGACUCCUGAGCACUGAGGAGAAAAGGACAUUCGGUCUAAAGUUGGUGGUUACAAAGUGUUUUGGGGAAUUUGAGAGCAAGACAAAGUCUGAUCUGAGAUAGACUCUGAACCCUUGGGGCUGAGAUGGAACAUUAUCAGGGUACCCCAAAACCCAAGAAGACUCGAGGGAGAAUAUGCCUUUCUCUUCCCUACUACCCGCAAAAUUCCAGCCUUGCCCUACCCAGAGAACUUCUGUACAAAAAAGAGCACUGCCCUAGACUCAGCCCCAGGGACCCUGGGUUUGGGGGAAGACAUGCCCCACCCUGAAACCUUAUUACAAAGGAAUAGCCCCUGGAGCAAUGUAGGAAGGCCCUGUGUGCCCUCAGCCCAGGUGUGGUUUAAUCUCUUGAAAGAACGGAGUCUUGGUCUGGGGUUGUGGCUCAAUGGUAGAGUGCUUGCCUGACAUGUGUGAGGCACUGGGUUUGAUUCUCAGUACUACAUACAAAUAAAUGAAUAAAAUAAAGGUCUAUCAACAACUUAAAAAAAAAAAGAACAGAGUCUUUAGUUGACUCUGAGCCCUUUGAGGUGGGACCUCAUACUUUUAGCCACCACAUGGAUUGUCCCUUAAUGCCUCUUACA